UCCACUUUGUAAAGUGUGCAGGUUACGGUCUUCUCCGCAGUGUUGAAUAUAAAAUGCCCACUGCCUUAGAGGACUUGGAGGUCAUACACUUUCUUCCUCAGUCACUUGACAACUAAUUCGUCUAAUGGUGACUGCGGUCGUAUUGGGAAUAAAAGGCAACUUUGACAAACAGUAAACUGAAGAAAGUCAUAGGCAUUGACUCUGGUGUAUUCGGCUAAAGCUAGUGGUGUCACAUUAAAUGCGUAUGAUGUCAUGUGCCACUGACUGGGAAACAGCUUACACUCCCGGUUAAUAAAAAAAACACUUGUGUUCCAUUUGAGAUGAUAUUACCUUUCUAAAAUUCAUACACUAGAUGUUAGAGAACAUAGUGUAAGUGUAUAGUACUUCUUUUGGGACACAUCUUUAGUAUUUACUCUGAAAGGCAUGUUUUUGGAACUGAAGUAGCAUAGUGAAUAAAUCCCCAUGCCGCGGAGACCAACUAAUUGAUAAUGAGAUUCAUUGAAAAUGAUUUUCAUAAUCGAUUAGUUGUUGCAGUUCUAGUUAUGUCCACUUUGCUUCGGCACGUAAACAACAACUUGAUCAAAACAUAAUAUGCAUAACAUUCAAUGUGUAAUAAAACACACUUAGGUAGCUAGCAAUUAACUAUGGUUUUCUGUAUACUGGUUCCAGCUGGUUGGAAGGCUCCCCAUUGGCAUACCCAAUGACAGAGUACAUCACGUCAAGCCAUUCCCUAUUGGCUUCCCCCUCCUUCUCCCACCUUGGCUUUCCCCCUCAUAUAGGGCCUCUUGAACUUUAAAAAAAAAAAAAUCUGCUGCAUCCAUGUUGAGGUCUUGCUUUCUGUCACAAUUUCAAGGUGGAGAGAGAUGCAAGUGCAGAUUUCAAGUUUAAUAAAAUUCAAAGCAAAUCACCAGAAGACACUAUGAACACAUGAAAAUGAAAACAAACACAAAUCAAUGCCUACGAACCAAAAGAGCAUAACAUGGCAACAGAAACCAAUUAAAGCAAGACAAAGAGUGCAAUGCAAACUAUGAUGACACACACACACACACACACACAAGUACUCGUUAACAUGAAUGAUAAUCAGGUGCAUGUGGUCAUGUGAAGUCCAGAGUUCCUUUGGGAUAUCCAUGACACAAACCUACAAUUCACAUCUUUAGUCCAGUCUCUGAGUAUUGAGGAGUCUGAUGGCUUGGGGGAAGAAGCUGUUACACCGUCUGGCCGUGAGGGCCCAAAUGCAUCAUUACCUUUUUCCAGACGGUAAGAGAGCGAAGAGCGUGUGAGG